UAGGCUGGCUGGCCAGCAAGUCCCAGAGAUCCUCCUGUCUCCACCUCCCCUGCACUGGGAUUAUAAGCUCACGCCAACCCCCCGCUGUUUUACAAGUGUUCUGGGGAUCUAGCUCAGGUCCUCAUACUUGCAUAACAAGCGCUUUGUGGACGGAGCCAUCACCACAACCUCAAGUAAUUUUAACUUUGCUUCUCUGUUUUCUGUUGCUGUGAACCACCAUGUUUCCAUGGCAACAGGGGAUGCAUUUUCCUUUUGCUAUCAGAGGAGGAGGCUCUAAGAGUCGCCUGCAGGUCCUCCAACCACACAGAAAAGUUGCUUGUUUCUGGGAGGGGCAAGCACACCCAAGUCCAGAUAGACAAGCUACAUCAUGGAGGAGCGACCGCUGCUAGAGAAUCAACUGGAAAAGCCACGGGCAAGAAACACAUUUUUGGAAAAGCUUGUCAGGUUUGGCACACAAUUUGGAACCGUUGCUCCAGGAAUCAGAAAUCCCGGGUGUUAGUUUUUCGGCUGCGUUGUGUUCUUACCCUGCAAGGAAAUGCCACGAAACACGACAGAAUCCGCUAACAAGAGUUUUAUUAAAGGGACAGAGAGUGAACAGGCCUGUGGGAAACACGUGUGGAGAAGAAGGAGGAAGAAGAAGAAGAAGGAACCGGGAACAUGGCGCCGGAUUUUAAAGGCUGGGCGUGGACAGAUCAGCAUCACUACUACACGCAAGCGCGUAGAUCACAUGGCCACGUUGCGCGCCUACGUAGCCAAUGGAACGUCACGGAUCUUGGUCACGCAAGAUGCCCUGACCCGGAAAUGACUAUCCUGACCUGGAACUGGCUAGGUGGAAGUGUCUGUUGGGCAUAUGCGAACACGCCCGACCGUGGGGGAGCCGGCGAGGGAGGUCAAGCACAGCCCACCCUGACCCAAGUAUCAUGUGAUGGAUUCCUCUGUACUCGUCCUCUUGGAUUAAGGAAGACUGAAGACCAACCCUUUCAGAGGACUUUCUUCCUCCUUGUAUUGGCCUGAGGGAGGGGGGGAGACAGUGUGAUUUCUCAGUGACUUCCUACAGUGUUGUCCUUCCCCAGAGUGGGGGGAGAUAACCACCAUCCCAGAAGUUCUCAAUAAAAUUUUUAUUAAACUGAAAAAACUAACAUUUUGGUGCCGAAACCGAGCGGGCGCUUCCGGGCACCCUGCGCCUGGAAACCCGUAAACCGGGGACUGCAACACUCUGCUCCGUACGCGACAGACCGCUCUCCAUUUUGCCUGACCGCAAAAAUUCCAUGCAACACCGCUUUCUCCGAUUGGUGAGUCCCCCCCAUUUUUCGGCCAGUGUAAACGGUUUCCUGAAUCUGUGAGAACAACCGGUACCUCACCAGUAUUCUUGAGACCGGGGGAACCCCCGGCCACGGUCUUCAUUGGCUACGGUCGGCCCCUAUCGCAGGCCUCAGAUUUCUAGCCCUCUCCCACGUCUGCAGCCUGAGAUAUUUCUCGCGUUGGGACCACCGCCGUUGGGUGCGUCCUGGGGGCCACGUGGGGCCGACACGUUCAUCCGACUUGACGAAGUGGCAGACGCUGUCUGGAUUCCCGGGGAAUCCUUUCCUCACGUGGCAGGGGCCCCCGCUUCUGUGGCUGACGAGCCAAGGAGCGGCUUGUGCCCGGGAUCCGUCCUUGGCCUUGGGGACGCCUGGGGCCUUGGCUCCGGAUCACGUUUGUUUUUUUAUCUUUUUUUUUUUUUCUGCCUCUCUGCUGCAGACAUGGGAAACAAGGCUUCCAACCCUGUUAGUCCUUCCUCUCCGUUAGGCUGUCUUGUUGAAGCUUUAAAACCUCUCAGUUUAAUGCCUUACAUAAAGAUUCCUAAGAUAACUCAUCUAUGUUCUAAAAAAUGGCCAAAGUAUGCUUUAGAAAACAACAAAAAAUGGCCACCGAGCGGCUCCUUAGAUCCCGAUAUUUUACGGGAGUUAUCUAAUUACUGUCAGCGCUCAGGCAGAUGGCAAGAGUUGCCCUACAUUAUAGCAUUUUUCUUUCUCAGUGCUAAACCGUCUCUUCUGGAUUCCUUCUCUCCUGCUCAUAUGCUCCUGGCUAUGCCUGAACCGGAGGAUUCUCUGACUCCAGAAUCUCUGACUCUAGAUCCUGCUAACGAACCUCCACCUAUUCGACCUCCAGCUCCAACUCCUAGAAAACCGUUCCUUCCGCUCCCCUUCCAGAUUCUUCUUCUUCUAAAGCUGCUCUUUUCUCAGCAGCGGCCGGUUCCAAAGGCCCUGCCCUAGCUCCAAACUUCACUCCUCCUACCACCCGCUCUCGGGCUGCUAAAUUGCCUGAUUCCAGCCAUCCAAAACCUUCCACUGUUCUCCCUUUGCGAGAGGUGACUGGUGUGGAUGGACUGAUUAAAGUUCAUGUUCCAUUCUCUCUAGCAGAACUCUCUCAGAUAGAAAGUAAGCUGGGUUCUUAUACUUUUAAUUCUGCUGCCUUUAUUAAACAGUUUCAAUAUAUAACUCAAUCUUAUAGUCUUACCUUUCAUGAUAUAUUCAUGAUACUUUCUAAUAACUUACUUCCUGAGGAGUGCAGGCGGGUUUGGGAGCAGGCUAGGAUUCAUGCAGAUGAAAUUCAUCAAACUAACCUCUCACACCCUCCAGGAGCUGAGGCGGUUCCUGACCGAGAGCCACACUGGGAUUAUAACACCCAGGGUGGCUGUCUAGCCAGAGAUAGGUUUAUUAUCUGUCUCCUGACAGGUCUCCGUAAGGCUGCCCUAAAACCAGUAAACUAUGAAAAACUAAAAAUGGUUAAUCAAGAUAAGGACGAAAAUCCGUCUCAUUUCCUAGAGCAGCUCACCAAGGCUCUACUUCAGUUCACUAGCUUAGACCCAGAGAGCCCUGAGGGCAGGCAGCUGCUAAUAACCCAGUUUGUCUCACAGAGCUUCCCUAACAUUAGGGAUAAACUUAAACAUUUGGAGAGCAGCCCUCUAACUCCACAGGCAGAUGUGCUGGUGAUAGUGUUUAAGGUGUUCCAUGGUAGAGAUGAAAAAGCCCAUAAAAGGAGCUGCCAGAUGCUGGCAAGCACUGCCCGACCGGCUCCCCGAAAGCCAUCUGGUCCCUGCUUCAAGUGUGGGAGAGAAGGCCAUUGGGCCCAGGCUUGCACCACCGGCCCAUGAAGGGCACCGACAAAGCCUUGUCCAAAGUGUUGCCAAAAGGGUCACUGGUCAGCUGACUGUCCUAAUGUCCCAAGCGACAUAGGAACGCCAGAUGAAGACCACCCUCCAGCUGACUUUGUAGGCUUGGCUUACAGCGAGGACUGCUGCUGCCUGGUUUCUGCCCCGGCCACUCCCAUCUCACACAGGGAACCUAGGGUAAUUAUAAAGGUCAAUGGGCGGCCCCAUCUCGUUCCUUUUGGACACCGGAGCUACCUACUCUGUCCUGAGAGAGUUUUGGAGGCCCACCUCUCCUGCUCGUCUCCCUAUUGUCGGGGUUGGGGACAGCCUUAUCUACCUCAUCAGACACCACCACUCAAUUGCAUUUUCAGAGGCAUCCCUCUCACACACACAUUCUUAGUGGUGCCAAGCUGCCCUGUACCUUUAAUGGGGAGGGAUCUUCUAGCUAAGGUAGGAGCGUCCAUUUCUUUCGCUCCACACAUUCGCCUCAUCCCAGACGCGCCAGCGGCUCCUUUACUUCUCCUCCUAGCCACUCACUCUUCUGACUCUAACAAUUCCUUUCCCCUACCAGUCUCUCAGGUAGACACAGUCUCUCAGGUAGACACACAGAGCCGGAGGCAAAAAGGACCAUCAAAAAUAUCCAGGCGUAUCUUGUCAAACAGAAGGUUCCCAGCCACAGCACGGAUGGACAGCUGCAGAACGAGGGGACGGCAGAACUUCAUUCCAGGACCUGCCCAGCAACAUCCCAGGACUUCACAAGAUACCCUCUCAUCCCCCUGCCCCCCAAGAGUCAACCAACACCCACUAUUCAGCUGGAAGCAGUCUUUGAGAGAAACGUCGCCCCCAUACCCAGGCAACCACAAUUUUUUUCUUUUUUAAAAAAGGAAGAGUCAGGGAUGAAAGGUUUACAACACGCCCCCACGGUCGGGCGUGUUCGCAUAUGCCCAACAGACACUUCCACCUAGCCAGUUCCAGGUCAGGAUAGCCAUUUCCGGGUCAGGGCAUCUUGCGGGACCAAGAUCCGUGACGUUCCAUUGGCUACGUAGGCGCGCAACGUGGCCAUGUGAUCUACGCGCUUGCGUGUAGUAGUGAUGCUGAUCUGUCCACGCCCAGCCUUUAAAAUCCGGCGCCAUGUUCCCGGUUCCUUCUUCUUCUUCUUCCUCCUUCUUCUCCACACGUGUUUCCCACAGGCCUGUUCACUCUCUGUCCUUUUACCUUUAAUAAAACUCUUGUUAGCGGA